CCCAUGGAAAGCUGGUGGAGCCUGGCAGGCACUCCCCCUGCCCGCGGCGGGUGUUGAGCUUGGCUCGGUCUCUUUCGUUGGCCCUGGUAAACAAGGCAGUGGCUUCAAUAGGGGUUCUGUGCACAGCCACAGUCUCUCCUUUAGGACCAAUUCCUGGCAUGGCUGAGGCACAGGCGGGAUGUUUUUCGCGCUCUGGGAACACCUGGAUGCCCACCCAGAGGUGGGACCAACAUGCUCCUAACAGCAGUGGACUGUGUGAAAACGGAGGCACCUAGCCAUGAUCAGAGGCAUCACCACCCACGUGGGGCAGGGGCACAGGCAAAAUACACAAACAAGGAAACCUCAAGUGAUCCAAAAAGUAAUACCAGGAGACCGUGGACGGGCAGGGUGGCAGGGCAGGGAGCUGCCCCCACUAACCUGGUCCAGAGCUGCCUUGAGGAGGAGGUGACUACUGAACCAAGGUCACAGAGGGAGGGUGUGGUGUGCAAGGGGCCAGCAAGGACAAAGGCUUGCAGAGUGUCCUCAGAAUAUCCCAGGGAGGGGCCUUGGGGUACAGGGUCCAGGUCUGGGGUGGGGCUAGGCCAGGCAUCUACUGCAGGAACGAACACCUAUCUUGCAGAGAGGCCUAUCUGGCCCAUCACUCCUGCCAAGUAGCACCACCAAGAUGUCACCCCACCAUCCCAACUUCUUCUGUGACCCCCAAAGGCUCCACAGGGAUUCUCUUCCUAAGGCAGCAGCAUUAGUUGGUCCAAGAGCACCCAGUCAGCUCAAGAGGCCAAUCUCCAACCAGAACACCUUGGGCUCCUCAACCUCAGGAUGGAGGCUUGGCUGAGGCGAGUGUCUGAGGGUGUCCUUCCACUGGAGGCCCUCUGGAUAUUGAGAAAGCAACCCAAUCCACCACAGAACCAGCAACUUACACAUUCUGAAAAUUUAAUUUAAAAUCGCUAAUGCGUACUCAUGGUUCAAAACUAAAAUACAAAAGUUGUCAAGUGGAAGGUGUCCCUUCUAAAUGAUCCCCCUCCACCAGGCUGCCAGGCACACAAUGCAUAAUACCUGUUCCCCUGGUGUCUUGUUCCUUACACGGAGCCCUAUCUCUUGGGCCCCCUUACAGGAUUUCCUUAUGUGAAUGUAAGCAGACACAUAUGCACACAGAGACAGGUGGUAUCUAUGUGCCUGCAAUGCAUCCACAUUCCCCAGGUCUCUUGUUCCUUACACAGACGCCUUAUCCUGGAGGCAAUGUGCUCCUGCCUUCCCCCAAUGACAGACUCUCUGGCCGCUCAGUCUCUGGCACAGCUGCCCAUGUGGACUGAAGACACAGCCAGGGGAUAGAGGCGGCCUCUGCUUCACAGCCCCCUCCCAGACCUGAGCCCCUGACCUAAAACAGUGAUGGGGACACAGUGUACACCUGCUGGUGCAGUGGAGGCCCCAGGCCAGUCUUGGCCCCAUAGACUUUUCCAUGCCCAUUGGCGGGUCUACAGGACAGCCCCCCAACCCACAGCAUACCCUCAGAGCUAUGCUGCCCUCACAUGGCCAGACAAGCACACACAUAAGACAUACUCUUAGCACCACACACACACAGACACUCCAUGCACACGGGCUUUUCCAGUAAGUGGCAGGGAACACCCCACUGUCCCCAGGCCUGGUCUUAGGUGGCCGAGCACAGACAGGAGACGCGCCUGGCACAGGGUCACACAAUGAGCAAGGGUUAGGCUAGGAUGGGACCCCAGACAUCCUGCCAGCCUGAAGGCCCUACUACUGGCACAGUGAAAUGAUUGGCCCAGGGUUGGCCUCCAAUGCCCCUCUAUCCUGCCAAAUGGCCCUGCCCAGGAGCUCAGCCACCUGACUGAGGAAAAUUCCCUGCUGUUUAGGGCUCUCCUUACCCACUCCCACACCCCAUGCCUGCACUCAGCAAACACAUGAAAGGAAGAUCUGCCCCCAGGCUCCCUGCAACUGAGGGCCAGGAGCCCAGACAGCAGGUGACAAAGCAGCUCAGGCUUAACUCACACAUCUUUCUCAUUAAGAAAAAACAUUUUCAGGCCUGGCCCAGUGGCUCACACCUGUAAUUCCCGUACUUCAGGAGACCGAGGCAGGCGGAUCACUUGAGGUCAGGAGUUCGAGACCAGCCUGGCCAACAUGGUGAAAUCCUGUCUCUACUAAAAAUACAAAAAUUAGCCAGGUGUGGUGGCGCACACCUGUAGUCCCAGCUACUCAGGCGGCUGAGGCAGGAGAAUUGCUUGAAACCUGGUGGGCGGAGGUUGCAGUGAGCUGAGAUGGCAUCACUGCACUUCAGCCUGGGUGACAGAGGGAGACUCUGUUUCAAAAAAAAGAAAAAACAUUUUUGAAUCCACUGUGGGCCAGACGCUGUGCUCAGGCUGGGCUGGGUACUUCCAUACAAACCCCAUAGAGAUGUGAAAGUUAGGAGAGGCCAAGAAAGGUUAGGGCCAUGAUAUGCUGAGUGCCCUUGUGUGCCCGCUAUAUGACCUCUGUCCUUCCAAACAUUCUUGGGGGCAGUGUUGUUUUCUCUCCCACCUUGAGGAGGAGCAAGCUGGGGUUCAAAAAGGUAAAGGAGUUGUCUGAAGUCACACAGAAGGUGAUGGCCCUCUUUGGGGCUGGUCAGCACUGUCCAGAGGAGGACCUGGAGGACAGCUGCAGGGAACCUGAAGCUUAAUGGGACCGUGGAAGCAGAACCCACUCCCAGCCUGUGGGUUCAAGGUUGUGUUGGUUUCUGGAUAAACGGAGAGCCCAACCUGCCUCCCAUCCCCCACCAUGCAUGAGAAGGAGGAGCUGGAAAGCUUCGUCUGAGCGCCGGGGCUUCUGUUUCAGGGGCACAAGAUGCUGUCAUGGCAUGCUCUGUUCCCCAUGCAUCUGUCUCUGCUUGGGACACAGAGCAUUCUUCUGGCACAGAGCUGCAGCAGGGCAUCAGGCCUUGGGUGCCCUCAGCCCAGAGGGUGGCUGAUGGCUUCGGGCAGCAGUGGAGAGCACUUCCCUCAGUCAGGGGGGUGGGCUGAGCCCUAGGGUGCAGGAGGUGGAUGGAGGGGUAGUGCCCUCACCAGGAUAUGAGAGUGGGGAUGGUGCCAGCCUCUGACACAGCCUCUCCUGGGAUAGCCAUCUCUUCCUGGGCUCCCUCUACCCUUUGGUGCCACCAAGGUCACUGUCCUGAGUCUGACCUCCUUCUACCCCGACUUCCAGACACAAGGAGCUCAGUGCUCCUGGGCUCCUUGCUGGGUGUCCUAUAGGGCUCUCCUUACACCAGCAAGACCCACCCCCGGGGCCUAUCUCAGCAGUGGCGCUGGCACCCAUCAGACCCCCAGGCCAGACCACCAUGGUUUACCAUGCCUUUGAUGCCCUGUUUUCCCCUGCUGCCUCCCAGCCUUGGGCUGAAUCUCUGUGGGCACCCUGGGCACCUGUGCUCCAGCAGCUGCCUUGGCCUCCCCUCAGACCACCUCCAGCUUUUCCUAUCACCCCCUGCCCACCUGGCACAGGCCUGGCACAGGGGCACCCUCUGGGUGAUGUGAGAAAGAGAGGUGGUAUGUGGGCUCAUGCCUGGAAUCCCAGCACUUCAGGAGACUGAGGCAGGAGGAACCCCAGGGGUUCGAGACCAGCCUGGAGAACACGGCAAAACCCAGUCUCUACAAAAAAAUAUAAAAAAUUAGCCAGUGUUGUGGUAGGUGCCUGUAGUCCCAGCUACCUUGGGAGGCUGAGGUGGGAGGAUCACCUGAGCCCAGGAAUUCAAGGCUGCAGUGAACCAAGAUUGGGCCACUAUACUCCAGCCUGGGUAACAGAGCAAGACCCUUUCUAAAAAAUGAAUGAAGGAAGGAAGGGAGGGAA